CCAGACUCCUACGGGAGGCAGCAGUGGGGAAUAUUGCACAAUGGGGGGAACCCUGAUGCAGCAACGCCGCGUGGGUGAAGAAGUAUUUCGGUAUGUAAAGCCCUAUCAGCAGGGAAGAAGAUGACGGUACCUGACUAAGAAGCUCCGGCUAAAUACGUGCCAGCAGCCGCGGUAAUACGUAUGGAGCAAGCGUUAUCCGGAUUUACUGGGUGUAAAGGGAGCGCAGGCGGCGCGCCAAGUCUGGUGUGAAACCCCGGGGCUCAACCCCGGGACUGCAUUGGAAACUGGCGGGCUGGAGUGUCGGAGGGGCAGGCGGAAUUCCUGGUGUAGCGGUGAAAUGCGUAGAUAUCAGGAGGAACACCGGUGGCGAAGGCGGCCUGCUGGACGACAACUGACGCUGAGGCUCGAAAGCGUGGGGAGCAAACAGGAUUAGAUACCCCAGUA
rnacentral:rRNA from 1 species